rnacentral:piRNA from 1 species
UGCCAAGUUUACCUCCAGGUAAGAAGGG